rnacentral:misc_RNA from 1 species
UUUCCGUAGGUGAACCUGCGGAAGGAUCAUUAAAGAGAAUAUGCCCUUCGGGGUAGAUCUCCCACCCUUUGUUUAUAUUACCUUUGUUGCUUUGGCAGGCCCGUCUCCGGACCACCGGCUUCGGCUGGUCAGUGCUUGCCAGAGGACCCAAAACUCUUAUUAUUAAUGUCGUCUGAGUACUAUAUAAUAGUUAAAACUUUCAACAACGGAUCUCUUGGUUCUG